rnacentral:ncRNA from 2 species
UAGACGAAACAGGGGUGCUUUGCACGUUGAUGUGCGUUUGCAAGUCGAUGCGCGGCGAGUCGCGCAGUGCCAGGCUGAGAGAGUCCCUUUGCACCCGAUCCGGGUAAUACCGGCGCGGGAAGUUUUCGAUUCUGUCCU